rnacentral:misc_RNA from 1 species
AAGUCGUAACAAGGUCUCCGUAGGUGAACCCUGCAGGGAGGAAUCAUUAACGGAAGGUGACCCCGGUCUAACCACCGGGAUGUUCAUAACCCUUUGUUGUCCGACUCUGCUGCCUCCGGGCGACCCUGCCUUCGGGCGGGGCUCCGGUGGACACUUCAAACUCUUGCGUAACUUUGCAGUCUGAGUAAACUUAAUUAAUAAAUUAAAA